AGGCUCAACACCUCUCUCUUGAUAGACUAUUGCCAUGACGAUGGAACCCACAAGUACAUCCUAAUCGACAUCGGCAAGACAUUCAGAGAACAAGUUCUCCGGUGGUUUGUCCACCACAAAGUUCCUUAUGUUGACUCGAUCAUUCUGACUCAUGAGCAUGCAGAUGCUGUAUUAGGCCUUGACGAAGUCUGGGUGGUACAACCAAGAAAUGACCGAAACGAUGUCGAGCAAAUUCCUAUCUUCCUCACGCAAUUCACGAUGGACAGUAUCACGAGAAGAUUCCCCUACUUGGUGGAGCAGAAACCAGAGGAUGGCGAUGAAGAUGCCCAAGUCGCAAAAAUCGACUGGAAGAUAAUUGAGGAUGAUGUCGACAAACCCUUUGUAGCGUCAGGGCUACAGUGUGUGCCGUUGCCGGUAAUGCACGGAGAGGGGUAUAUUUGUUUAGGCUUCUUAUUUGGGAGGAGAGCUAGAGUUGCAUAUUUAUCUGAUGUCUCAAGAUUUCUACCUAAAACCGAGCAUGCUAUUUCAAAAUCUGGUGCUGGACAAGUUGAUCUACUUAUACUAGAAAACUCUUUGCAUGGAGUCGGAGAUUCUUUCAGCACCCAUUUAACUCUGAGUGAGAGUCUUGAUGCUAUCAAGAGGAUCCAUCCUAAAAGAGCUCUGUUGAUUGGAAUGAGGCAUUUUUUGGGGCAUCAGAGAGAAAACCAGAUGUUGGCAGAAUGGUCUAUCAGAGAAGGAAUACCGACACAACUGGCUCAUGACGGCCUGCGAGUCUUCAUUGACUUGUAA
rnacentral:rRNA from 1 species